GGUUAAGCGACUAAGCGUACACGGUGGAUGCCCUGGCAGUCAGAGGCGAUGAAGGACGUGCUAAUCUGCGAUAAGCGUCGGUAAGGUGAUAUGAACCGUUAUAACCGGCGAUUUCCGAAUGGGGAAACCCAGUGUGAUUCGUCACACUAUCAUUAACUGAAUCCAUAGGUUAAUGAGGCGAACCGGGGGAACUGAAACAUCUAAGUACCCCGAGGAAAAGAAAUCAACCGAGAUUCCCCCAGUAGCGGCGAGCGAACGGGGAGGAGCCCAGAGUCUGAAUCAGUGUGUGUGUUAGUGGAAGCGUCUGGAAAGGCGCGCGAUACAGGGUGACAGCCCCGUACACAAAAAUGCACAUACUGUGAGCUCGAUGAGUAGGGCGGGACACGUGGUAUCCUGUCUGAAUAUGGGGGGACCAUCCUCCAAGGCUAAAUACUCCUGACUGACCGAUAGUGAACCAGUACCGUGAG
rnacentral:rRNA from 1 species